CCCGACGUCACACCCUUACCCCUUUUACACUUUUCUUAAUUACCCACAGUACAUAGGGGAGGGGAUGGAUUUUUAUUUUUUGGAAAUUUAUUAACAAACAAAUGAGGCCCACAGGGAACCAUUUAUACAUAGAGCAAUAUCCAAGGGAGGAUGAAGACACAGCUCAUCGGAUUCCCUUUUUCUUCAUCAUCUUCACAUAAACAAGGGGGGCUCCAUUUUUGUUUUGAAGGGAGAGAGUAGCAAUACACAGACCAUCAUCUAUCUCCUUUCUUAUUUCUUGUUUUUGGGAUUCACUCUCACGCCACACACACAGAGACGCCAUAGUUAACACCUCACAGAUCCUCACUCUCUAUACACAAACGAAAAUCACGCACACACACACUCAUAGAUCACCGGAGUACCCAUUCCCUCAUCGAAAAUAUACACACGCUUAGUAAGGACGGAAUAAAAAAUGGCGGGGUCUUGAUAUUUUAGCGGGAAUCAGUGGAAUCGGAGCAGAAUCCGAUCAUUCCUUAAUCUUUUCCGACGAACCCUUCGACGGAAUUGAACGUUUAGGGUCACUUCCAGUUCUUUCGCUGCUUGCUAGCACUCGCCGGAACUCCAUCUGUGCGGUUUUCCUUGAUAUUCUCAUAAUUUUUUUGGUUUUGGGGUUCACUGUUCUCGUGGGUUCUGUGUUUGAAUUGAUUUCGGAUAUGGGUCUCUGUUAUUUCUCAAUUUUGGUUCGAUUUUGGCGAGAAACAGUGAAGGCUUUACCAAGUUGGGGUUCGUUGUUGAGGUUUUCUUUCUCGGGAUUUCAAAUUCGGGUUUUCUUGAAUAUUAUUAUCAACGAAAAUCAAUCAUUGAAAGGUCCAAUUUUAUCGUUUCUUAUUUUAUUUCGUCAUAUGUGUUUGAUUUAGUUGAAUAUUGGGUGAUAUUGAUUUGUGUUGCUCGGCUUCGUUGAAUAGAUGGUUGUGGAUUGUUGAAAUAGUAAUCUUGAAUUUAUUGAAAUUUGGUGUUAAAAAGGAAUGCGAAGGGUUGGAUGAUAGAAAUGGAUAAAAUGAAUUUUGUUUAGUCUUGGUUUACUGUUAUUGGUUAUUUUGGAACAAAUAUGAAGGUCGAAUAUGGUAGUAUUAUGAUUAGGCCGUCAAAGGAAUAGGCAAAAGCUUAGGUUCGGGUAGGUAAAUUUAGGAAUGAUGUCGGAUCGAAUGCGUGGAAUAUUGAAUGUGUUAAAUGCUUUUCUAAUUUAUCUCAUGAAAUUGAAAAUUGUAUUCAUUUGCUAGGGAAUGACCCAAAGGAGUUGUAUUUACUCACUGGGGAAUGCCCUAAAGUAUCAUGUACUUGAAGACGGUGCACAGUCAAGGCCCGAACGUCGGGUGGAGUUUCAUUCAAGAGUAGUUUAGGGAUAGUUUAGAAUAGAAUAGGUUUACAUUUUUUGCAUUUUUUAUUAUUCGGGACUGUAUAAUUGAAUUGGACACUAUAUUUUUGAUUUGUUUUGUUUUUAUUUGUUUGAUUGAUUGUUUUGCGUGUUUUCGUGUGGUUUAUACAUUCGUAGUGUUAAAUUAGCCGAUAUGCUCCACCAAGCGACCGUGGUCGAACCACGGGAUCGAGGGGUGCCUAACACCUUUCCUUCGGUCAACAGAAUUCUUUAGCCGAAAUCUCUAUUCGCAAAUCAGUCUUAAAGAGUCAAAUUAUUUUGAAAAGAUUUUUCAAAGGUGACUUGACACACCGGAUUAUGCCAAGUGGCGACUGUGAGUUUUGAAUGUAAAAAUAAUCCCUUUUCAAAACAAUUAUCUUCAUUUUGUCACUUUAAAAAUAAAAAUCCUUUCGACCCUUAAAACGAAUCAUUUGGAGUACGAAAAAGGGGUGUGACAACUCUGGCGACUCUGCUGGGGACCAUUUCAGAAUUCGAGUUUACUUUUGGAGUUGUAGUGGCUUAGUUUGACAUUAUGGGUGUAUAGACGUAUGUGUUGUUUUGUAUUAUUGUCUUUUUCAUUAUUGAGUGCCUACUUGCUAUGUGUUUAUAUUUUUUUUUAAUGUGUUACCGCUUUAUAUCUGGCAUCAUGUGCAUAACCCGAGUCAUUCUUUCCGCAACAAGUCCGUAGUGCACGCUGUGUACACGACCUCUAGUUGAGUCACCCUUAUCUUAGGAGGGGGGGCCGUUGGCUGGUAUGGAGUGGGUGGAAAGCUAAAACAGCCACUAUCGACCAUAUGCUCCCUCGAACAGCCUUGUUAGUAAAUUCCAGCGUAGGUCAACCUUUAGGUCAUGCUUAUUUGCAUCAUAUUGAGAUCUAACGGGACCCACGUGGCCCUUUGUAGGAGACUCACCUCUAAAGCAUUCCUACGUGCUAAAUGUUGCAUCUUUGAGGGUAACGAGGUCAUUUGACAGAUUGAUUUGGGUAAAAGCUUGAGUUAGAAGCAAAUGGUGUAGGCAAGAAAUUGUUGAAAAAAAAAGAAAAAAAAGAGUUUUGGUAGUUUUUAGGUUUUUUUAUGGCUUUUGUUUUUCACAAUUAAAAAAAAUGUUUUUAACUUUUUGCACUCAUUUCCCAAAAAAUAAAAAAUGUUAAAAAGAUUUUUCUUUUAUUUUUUUAGUAAGUAUUCACAAUUCAGAAACCCCAAAAAUAUUGUUUCCUUUCAAUAGGAGCCUUGUACAUUUUUAUAUAACGAAAAUAUCAAAAAGAUUUUUUCUUUCAUAAUUGUUGGUAUUAGUUUCUAAUUAUAAACCCAAAAAAGAUUUUAUUCGUCUGUCUUUAGUCGAGUCUCUCAAUUUAGGGUUUAGUUUGUCAUUUAAUCCUUAAUUGUCUAAUCUGGACGAACUACGGACCCCCGAUUCUCCUCUUUCGGGAAUGAGAUACGUAGGCAGCCUAUUGUUGGUUCGGGGAUCUUCUUUGAAAAAUCCAAAAAGAUUUUCUUCACUCUUUAUUAGAGUAGGUAUCAUAUAUUUCCUUAAAGGAAAACUGCAAAAAGAUUUUUCUUUAAUAGUUUCAAUUUUCAUUUUCCUAUGAAAUUCUAAAUCGAAAAUCCAAUUUUUUUUUUCUUUGGUAAUCAUAUAUUCCAUUUUGUAUAGGGAGUUUAAACCUGAAAAUUGCAAAAAGAUUUUCGUCUAUUUUCUUGACAAUUUGUUCUUUUCUUUUCUUUUUAAUGUUUUAAAAAAAAGAAAAAGAAAAGAAAAAGAGUUUAAUUGGCCAUUUUGGCAAGACUUCACAAACUACGCACACCUGAUUCUCCUCUCUCGGGAGUGAGAUAUGUAGGCGCCCUUCUUGGGUUCUGUGAUCUUUUAAAAAAAAAGGAAAAAGAGGUUUUGAAAAGUGUUAAACUCUAGCACAUUUGUUGUUUUUUGUUGUGUCAGUUUAAGGUGGUUGGUUUGUGGCAUUCUGGCUGGUCCUCCAUAUCACACCAAAUUCAAAGGGUUAGUUGUGUUUAACAAGGAUAUAGAGAGUGACAUCUUGGAUCAAAUAAAGAGUCAGGUAAAUGAGAGAUUAAAGCAAGAGAUUAGGAGACUAAGACAACAAAUGAAUGAAAUGCUUCGAGCUUGGGCCAGUGGGUUGCCCCCUCCUCCAUUUCUUGCUAUUGAUCCUAUAAAUACCUCGAGUUUUCCACCAAAAUCGCAAAUUCAGCGUCCUACUGUUGUUGAUGCACCAUAACAUAACUCAGAAUUCAUUCCAAGCCAAAAGCAUCAUAAUACUUCCACCACAUUUCCUCUAGCCCCUCAGCAUAAGCCUGCUACAUUCACAACACCACAUGUCGUCUAUGAUCUUGUUGCUCAAUCCUCUAUUGGGACUUUCACACUGGCUCGCCCAACGAUUGUGUGUCUCUAUGCUGCUAGUGAACCUAUAUUCAAUACUCUUGGUGAUCAUUGUUAUACUCCUGAGCCUGCUUUUAAGUUAACUCGACCACCAAAAUUUCUUAACAAGAAGUCCAGUGUGCCAGAAGAGUCAGAGAAAAUGGUUGGAAAAAUAAAGCGUGCAAAAAAUGCUAUGAAAAAUUCUCUAGGACCUGCGGAUAAAGAAGAUGUUUCAUACAAAGUCCGGGGGAUGCCUUCAAGCGCUAACCUUCCUCCAAUCUUUGAGAUGUCAAAAUUUGAGGAGCAAGAUGGGCAUGAGGAAUCCAUGAAAUAUUUGGAACAAUAUUGCAAUCAAUUAAGGGAACCUGGAGGGAAGAAGAAUGAGAAAGAUGACACUUCUAUUGUAGUUGGAGAACGAGCAUAUCCAAGAAGACGACGACGUCGUUGCCAUCAGUCUCAAGCCCAAGUUCAUACCCAAGCUCUCCAUAAUCACCCCCAAAAUUCAUUAUACUCUGUUUCCCCACCUCCAUAUCUAGUAUAUUGCACACAACCAUAUGUUCAACUCCCUCCUUACCCACAAUGGCGUGCACUAACUCCUCAAAGUCAUCUUUCAAUUCCACAAACAUACCAGAGCCCUUCUAGGCCCGAGGUUCGAUCCAAGACAAACAAUUAAAUGAGGCAAAAAUCGAGGGAUAGCUUUAUACCAAUUGGAGAUUCGUACGCCAGUUUAUUCCAAAUAUUGGUACAGGGAGCAUGAUCACUUCUCUCCUUAGGUAUACUCCUAACCCACAUUCCAGAAGUUUUGAUCCUAAUUACGAUGUACAUAUCAUUCUGAUGUUCAGGGUCAUAGUAUUGAGGAUUGUUGUACUUUGAAAAGAGAAAUAGAAAGGAUGAUUCAAGAAAAAUUGAUUGUGGUGCAAAACAUUGGCACCUCAACUGUCCCACAAAAUUCUUCGCCAGCACAUGGUACUACACAAUAUACAAUAUGUGGAAAGCAAUGAGUUAAACCUGAGGACCCAGAACUAAUUUGUUGAAAGGAAUGUGUCUGAUCAUGGUGGAAGUUCUAGUCAUGCUGAUAUACAAACCAGUGGCUAAGUUGUCAGGGUGAGCAAUUGAGAAGUCACCCCUCUCCCUACUAAGAAGAGGUCUGGUAGUUUGCUUUGUUUUCUUUUCUGUUUUUUGAAUUAUUUCAGAGUUGUAGUUCGAGAUCUAUCUUGUUUUGUUUCUCUGUCGUCUUUGUUUAAACCCUUCUAUCUUUUCUUUCAAGGAAAUGUGGUGUCCCUUGUUUGUGUUGUCUUAUUUUAAGUUGUUUGUUUGUCUGCUUUACACAAUUCAUUUUAUGUUGAUUCUAGUGUUAUGACAUGCCUGUGGAAUUUCUAGCCAGAUCUUGAAAUCCAACUUAAUCAUGAAGCAUUGAAUCAGAGAGUUAAAGUUAGGAAAAGAGAGCAUCUGAGAAAAUCGGUAGAGUGCUGAGACAUUUGGGGACAAGUUCAAGCCUUCUUGGAAAAUUAAGGUAAUUAUUUUGAGAAUCGCAAGAAUAACUUGGUCAUCAAUUGAAAACAUUGCUCCAUUAGGUCAAAUAGCGGAUGUGUGAUCCCGAGGGACAGAAAAAUCAACUCCAUGAAAGCAUGAGUCAUUCAAUAUGAGGAAUGUACAACAGAAGUGGAUUGAUAUGUUGAACAAAGUGCAAGAGUAGUGACACACAGACUCAAUUAAAGUUAGUGCUUAAAAACUGUCACAAAUGAUCUUCAUCUCUCACUUUCAUAUUACAUGAUAUGUACUUGCAUUUUCAAGGAUUGAUAUGACGAAGGCAUUUCAUUCUGCUAUUCAAACAUUGUGUCAUCCUUUGUUUACCCCAUUUGAGCUUUAGUCCUAUUUCCUUUCAUACCUCUCUUUUGAAAUCAAGAUAGAGCCAGCAAAACUCAAAAGAAAAGUGUCGAGCAAAAGAAUAAAGUCAGAAAGUUUCAAAAAAAAAAGAGAAAAAUGUGUCCAAAAAAAAAGAAAAAAACGUCAAGAAAAAUAGAGUCAGAAAAAACGCGAAGAAAAAGAGUCAAUAAAAUAGAAAAAUAAAAAAAAAUCAGAAUCAAUCAAAAGAACAAGCUGCCAGAACUACGCAUGACCUAAUUCUCCUCUCUCGGGGGGUGAGAUACGUAGGCUUCCCUACUAAGGGCUCGGUCCAACCAAAUAAAGAAUUUAGAGUCACCCAGUCAAAAGAAACUGGGGCAUGAGACAAUCCUCAUUGUUUGAAUCGAUUCCAAAAGUUGUAAGUCCCAACCAAAUAAACAAUUUAGAGUCACCCAGUCAAAAGAAACUGGGGCAUGAGACAAUCCUCAUUGUUUGAAUCGAUUCCAAAAGUUGUAAGUCCCACCCAAUAAAUAAUUUAGAGUCAUCCACUUCAAGUGUCGUUUGGGCCCCAUGCCAUCCUUUCUUUCUAACCCUAUCCAAAAGUCAAGUUAUAACCAAAGAAAGACCUUCAGAUCAAUCUUUGAGAAUGUUAAGACUAAGCAUGCAAUGGAUGUGAUGACACAUUUUGGUAACUACUUGUCUUUUUCAGCAUAAGGAAUCAGGAGAGAAAUAAAAAUGAGAGAGUCUUAUCGGUGAAAACCCUCACGGGCGUCGUAAGAUGAUGGUAAUCUGAGAGAGAUAAAAAUGAGAGAGUCUUAUCGGUGAAAAUUCUCACGGGCGUUGUAAGACGAUGGUAAGCUGAGAAAGAUAACAAUGAGAGAGUCUUAUUAGUGAAAAUCCUCAUAGGCACUGUAACACGAUGGUGAGUUGAGACAAAUGAAAAUAAGAGAGUCUCAUUGGUUAAAAACCCUCACGAACACCAUAGGGCAAUGAUGAGCUGGGAAAAAAUAAAAUGAGAGAGACUUGUUGGCAAAAACCUUUCAAGGCGCCACUAGCCGAAUGAGGUCUUAAGUGCUCUUGACCUAAGGAAGCAACUCAAUUUCGAGGUUAUUAACUCAACAACAAUUGGUAAAAUGUUUUGGAUGGAAAGAUCAGGCAGUUUAAUCCGAUAUGCAUGGCAUAAUCAUUAGAGUUGACUGUCAUUUCUAGAUAAAUUUUUUAUUUCUUUGUUUCAAACGGGGACAUUCAUUGUCUUUUCUUUCUUCUCUUUAUUUUUAUUUUGUUUUCUUGAGUCAAUGGUCCAAAUAAAAGUCAUUGUCAUUUUUCUCUUGUCUUUGAGUCAAGUCCACAUCAAGACAAGUGAGAAAAGAUUUCAAAACUGGCUACCGGCUUCUUCAAUUGCAUAAAGCAAGACAAAGUCAGCAUAUGAAAGAGACAUGAUUGUGAGCUGAAUAAAGCAUGUAGAAAGUUUUGUCAACAGACAAGCUAGGAAACUCAUGAAAAUACCAAGGUUUAAAGGGUUUAUCUGAGAAGCAUGACAAAGCAAAGAUACUGUGUUUAUUUCGGAGUCACUCUUAAUAAUCUGAGUUUGGGUCAAUGACACGACAAAGCAGGGGCAAAUGCCAGUAAUCUAAAACAAAAUAAAGGGAAUGAACACUGGAACAAAUGCCUGGAAAGCGAAGUGCUGUAAGCCACCACUAAGUUUUUAACUGACAAUUUUUUUUUGUUGAAAUAGUGGCAAAUUUGUUUCACUUAAUCCAUCUACCAUUGUAAAAACACAUCUAUGGGAUUUUACUUCUGUUCAGAAUCCUCCUGAAAAAUGAGAUUUUACUUUUGAUCAGGACCCUCCUGAAAAAUACGGUUUUACUUUCUGUUCAGGACCCUCCUGAAAAAUGAGAUUUUACUUUAUGCUCAGGACCCUCCUGAAAAAUGGGAUUUCACUUUAUGCUCAUGACCCUCCUGAAAAAUGGGAUUUCACUUUCUGUUCAGGACCCUCCUGAAAAAUGGGAUUUCACUUUAUGCUCAUGACCCUCCUGAAAAAUGGGAUUUCACUUUCUGUUCAGGACCCUCCUGAAAAAUGAGAUUUUACUUUCUAUUCAGGACCCACCUUAAAAAUGGGACUUUACUUUCUGUUCAGGACCCUCUUGAAAAAUGAGAAUUUACUUUCUAUUCAGGACCCUCCUGAAAAAUGAAAUUUCACUUUAUAUUCAGGACCUUCCUAAAAAAUGGGAUUUUAUUUUUAUGUUCAGGACCCUCCUGAAAAAUGAAAAUUUACUUUCUGUUCAGUACCCUCCUGAAAAAUGGGAAUUUACUUUAUGUUCAGGACUUCUUGAAAAAUGGGAUUUUACUUUAUGCUCAGGACCCUCCUGAAAAAUGGAAUUUGACUUUAUGUUCAGGACCCUCCUGAAAAAUGGAAUUUGACUUUAUGCUCAGGACCCUCCUGAAAAAUGGGAUUUCACUUUCUGUUCAGGAGCCUCCUGAAAAAUGGGAAUUCACUUUAUGUUCAGGACCCUCCUGAAAAAUGGGAUUUCACUUUAUGUUCUGGACCCUCCUGAAAAAUGGGAGUUUACUUUCUGUUUCAUGAAAACUGAGACUUUACUUUCUGUUCAGGACCCUCUUGAAAAAUAGAACUUUACUUUCUGUUCAGGACCCUCCUGAAAAAUGGGAUUCCACUUUAUGUUCAGGACCCUCCUGAAAAAUGGAUUUUACUUUAUAUUCAGGAUCCUCCCGAAAAAUGAAAAUUUACUUUCUGUUCAGGAUCUUCCUGAAAAAUGAGAAUUUACUUUCUGUCCAGGACCUUCCUAAAAAAUGAUAUUUUACUUAAUGUCCAGGACUUUCCUGAAAAAUAGGAUUUUACUUUAUGUUCAGGACCUCCUGAAAAAUGGAUUUUACUUUAUGUUCAGGACCCUCCUGAAAAAUGGGAAUUUAAUUUAUGUCCAGGACCCUCCUGAAAAAUGAAAUUUUACUUUCUGUCCAGGACCUCCUGAAAAAUGGAAUUUUACUUUCUGUCCAGGCCCCUCCUGAAAAAUGAGUUUUUACUUUCUGUUUAAGACCCUCCUGAAAAAUGGGACAUUACUUUCAAGAAAAUAAAAUCUUUCUUUAUCUUAAUCUUAAUCUUUGUUGGGGAAAAUUUUCUUUUUAGCUUUGAUUUUGGUUUCAGGAGCCCGCCUGAAAAAUAGGGUGAUAAAAUUGAAAGUCAAGCAACAAGGUAAGGGGAUUGAAAGUCAAACAACGAGUUGAAGAAAUUGAAAGUCAAACAACAAGUUGAAGAAAUUGCAAGUCAGGAGCCCAUCUGAAAAAUAGGGUGAUGAAACUCAAGUCAAGAGUCUAAAAGAAGCUGCAUAGAUAAGAUUUGUGUAAUUUUAUUUUUUUUUAACUUGUAAUUUUUAUUUUUGAUGUAAUACCAGAGCCGCGGACCGGAACCUCGACGGGACCUCACUCGACUCUCCAACUCAGUAUAGUCCAUCUUCCUUCCAAUCUUUUGAGAUACCCGUCACUUGAUUCCCUCAUAACUUGGGCAGUUAGAAUGUCCUGGUGUAGACUCGGUUUCCCUCCUCCCUUUUGUUUCAUUCUCUUUGAAUAAUGGUCAGGAUAAAAUUCUGUCUCGUUGUCUAAUUCUUUGUCUGGAAACACUUCGUGUUUACAUUCAAAGGGGGCAUGCUGUAGACAAAUAAUUUUGUCAUUACCAACGUCAAUUUUAUCCAUUUUUAGCUCACCUUAUCUCGUGCCUUCACCCAUAUAAUUAUCUCUCCAUAAAAUGACAAAAAUAACAAAAUUCGUAACAAAUUUUAUCUUAUUUUAAUUCUAUCCUAACCAACUCACACCUCACUACCCUACCCCUACCACCUACCCCACGUCACACCCUUACCCCUUUUACACUUUUCUUAAUCACCCACAGUACAUAGCGGAGGGGAUGGAUUUUCAUUUUUUGGAAAUUUAUUAACCAACAAAUGGGGCCCACAGGGAACCAUUUAUACACAGAGCAAUAUCCAAGGGAGGAUGAAGACACAGCUCAUCGGAUUCCCUUUUUCUUCAUCAUCUUCACAUAAACAAGGGGGGCUCCAUUUUUGUUUUGAAGGGAGAGAGUAGCAAUACACAGACCAUCAUCUAUCUCCUUUCUCUUUCUUGUUUUUGGGAUUCACUCUCACGCCACACACACACAGAUGCCAUAGUUAACACCUCACAGAUCCUCACUCUCUAUACACAAACGAAAAUCACGCACACACAUACUCAUAGCUCACCGGAGAACCCACUCCCUCAUCGGAAACAUACACACGCUUAGUAAGGACGGAAUAAAAAAUGGUGGGGUCUUGAUAUUUCAGCGGGAAGCAGCGGAAUCGGAGCAGAAUCCGGUCAUUCCUUAAUCUUUUUCGGCGAACCCGUCGCCGGAAUUGAACGUUUAGGGUCACUUCCAGUUCUUUCGCCUCUGCCAGUACUCGCCGGAACUCCGUCUGUGCGGGUUUCCUUGAUAUUCUCAUAAUUUUUUUGGUUUUGGGGUUCACUGUUCUCGUGGGUUCUGUGUUCGAAUUGAUUUCGGAUACGGGUCUCUGUUAUUUCUCGAUUUUGGUUUGAUUUUGGCGAGACACAGUGAAGGCUUUACCGAGUUGGGUUUCAUCGUUGAGGUUUUCUGUUCGGAAUUUCAAAUUCGGAUUUUCUUGAAUAUUAUUAUCAACGGAAAUCAGUUGAAAGGUCGAAUUCUAUCGUUUCUUAUUUUAUUUCGUCAUAUGUGUUUGAUUUGGUUGAAUAUUGGGUGAUAUUGAUUUGUGUUGCUCGGCUUCAUUGAAUAGAUGGUUGUGGAUUGUUGAAAUAGUAAUCUUGAAUUUGUUGAAAUUUGGUGUUAAAAAGGAAUGCGGGGGGUUGGACGAUAAAAAUGGAUAAAAUGAAUUUUAUUUAGUCUUGGUUACUGUCAUUGGUUAUUUUGGAACAAAUACGAAGGUCGAAUGUGGUAGUAUUAUGAUUAGGCCAUCAAAGGAAUAGGUAAAAGUUUAGAUUCGGAUAGGCAAAUUUAGGAAUGAUGUUGGAUCGAAUGCGUGGAAUAUUGAAUGUGUUAAAUGCUUUUCUAAUUUAUCUCAUGAAAUUGAAAAUUGUAUUCAUUUGCUGGGGAAUGCCCCAAAGGAGUUGUAUUUACUCAUCGGGGAAUUUCCUGGAGUAUCAUGUACUUAAAGACGGUGUACGGUCAAGGCCCGAACGUCGGGUGGAGUUUCAUUCAAGAGUAGUUUAGGGAUAGUUUAGAAUAGAAUAGGUUUACAUUUUUCACAUUUUUUAUUAUUCGAGAUUAUAUAAUUGGAGUGGACACUAUAUUUUUGAUUUGUUUUGUUUUUAUUUGUUUGUUUGAUUGUUUUGCGUGUUUUUGUGUGGUUUAUAUAUUCAUAGUGUUAAACUAGCCGAUAUGCUCCACCAAGCGACCGUAGACGAAUCAAGAGAUCGAGGGGUGCCUAACACCUUUCCCUCGGUCAACAAAAUUCUUUAGCCGGAAUCUCUAUUCGCAAAUUCAUUUAAAGAAAAUGUGUGAAAGUAAAAUAACAAUAAG
rnacentral:lncRNA from 1 species